GAUGAACGCUGGCGGCGUGCCUAAUACAUGCAAGUCGAGCGAACAGACGAGGAGCUUGCUCCUCUGACGUUAGCGGCGGACGGGUGAGUAACACGUGGAUAACCUACCUAUAAGACUGAGAUAACUUCGGGAAACCGGAGCUAACACCGGAUAAUAUAUUGAACCGCAUGGUUCUAUAGUGAAAGACGGUUUUGCUGUCACUAAUAGAUGGAUCCGCGCCGCAUUAGCUAGUUGGUAAGGUAACGGCUUACCAAGGCAACGAUGCGUAGCCGACCUGAGAGGGUGAUCGGCCACACUGGAACUGAGACACGGUCCAGACUCCUACGGGAGGCAGCAGUGGGGAAUCUUCCGCAAUGGGCGAAAGCCUGACGGAGCAACGCCGCGUGAGUGAUGAAGGUCUUCGGAUCGUAAAGCUCUGUUAUUAGGGAAGAACAAAUGUAUAAGUAACUAUGCACGUCUUGACGGUACCUAAUCAAAAAGCCCCGGCUAACUACGUG
rnacentral:rRNA from 1 species